rnacentral:rRNA from 1 species
GGUGGUAAUGCCGGAUGCUCCAGUUGACCGCAUGGUCCUCUGGGAAAGCUUUUGCGGUAUGGGAUGGGGUCGCGUCCUAUCAGCUUGAUGGCGGGGUAACGGCCCACCAUGGCUUCGACGGGUAGCCGGCCUGAGAGGGCGACCGGCCACAUUGGGACUGAGAUACGGCCCAGACUCCUACGGGAGGCAGCAGUGGGGAAUAUUGCACAAUGGGCGCAAGCCUGAUGCAGCGACGCCGCGUGCGGGAUGACGGCCUUCGGGUUGUAAACCGCUUUUGACUGGGAGCAAGCCCUUCGGGGUGAGUGUACCUUUCGAAUAAGCACCGGCUAACUACGUGCCAGCAGCCGCGGUAAUACGUAGGGUGCAAGCGUUAUCCGGAAUUAUUGGGCGUAAAGGGCUCGUAGGCGGUUCGUCGCGUCCGGUGUGAAAGUCCAUCGCUUAACGGUGGAUCCGCGCCGGGUACGGGCGGGCUUGAGUGCGGUAGGGGAGACUGGAAUUCCCGGUGUAACGGUGGAAUGUGUAGAUAUCGGGAAAGAACACCA